UUUUUAUUACAAUUUUUAUAUUUUAAUAUUUUCUAUUUUUAUAGUUUCUAGCUCCUCUAUAUUUGUUAUGCCAUCUCCUUUAUACGUAUCCCUUGCUAAGAUCCUAUGUAUACAACCAUCAUCUCUUUUACAAUGGUAAUAAAUAAAUUUGUAUGGUGUAUUUAAACAUAAAAAUGUCUUCUUACUCCAAAAUCUAUUAUGUUUAAUUGCGUGUCAUUAACAAUUCAAUAAAAAAAAGUUGUAAAAUUCUGGAGCAAAUUGCGAUAAUCUAUUUUUUAUUUUUUAAAACAAUUUAGAUGAAGUAUGUUGAUUUCUUAAUUCAUAAAUAAUUUCCAUUUAUACAGCAAUAGUGAUUGAACUUUGAUAAUUUUAAAAUGAAUAAUAUUCCAGUAAAACAUGUGUGCAGAUUACUAUGAAGGAAUAAAGGAAUAAGCAUCUACCAUUUGAGCGCAACUAUUUUUUUUCUCUUUCUUUGCUGAUUACUAGUGACCGUAAGCGCAACUACUAUAAAGGGAGUUUCAGCUUUCCAUAAAAAAUAAAAAAAAUAAAAAAAUAAAAAUAAAAAUAAAAAAAAGGAGAAAAACAGAGAGUGGGCGAAGGGCUGAGAGCUUCAAUCUCAAGAUGUUUCUUGUUUCUCUUUGAUUUUAAGUGUAACCUGCAAUUGAAUUUUAAGUGUAACCUGCAAUGAUUUUAAGGGUAACCUGCAAUUGAAUUUGGUGUUUUUGAGCUAGCCAUAUUUGUCCAUUGAAUUUGGUAGUUUGAGCUAGCCAUUAUUGUCCAUUGAAUUUGAUAUUUUUUUCUAUGUAUUUUUGUUUUUUUUCUCUAAUUUUCUGGAUAUACUUCUUCACACUUUUUCGCUGUUUUGGUUGAAUAUUUAUAUGGCUUCCCUCAUUUACUAUUAAAACAUGAAUUUUAUAAAUAAUUAUCCUUACACCUACGUCUUAAUAAAUAUGGUUUUUUUGAAAUAUUAAUAUUUAAAUUAUUCUAACUCCUUUAAUUUUCUAUUUUCAAAUAAAAGCAAAGAGCACGAUAUCUUCAUAAAUUUUUACUUUUUUAAUUAUGACUUAUUCAUAAUAAAUUUUACUAAUUUGACAUGAGAGAUUUCAAAUAAUUCAUUAAAUAUAUAGCCAUUUAAAAUGAGGAACUUAAAUAUCUUCCGACUAUCUAUACUAAUUAUUUACGUUUUAAUCAUUUUGUUUUGUCUUAUAAAUUUUUAAUUUGAUUUUCAUAAUCAAAUUCACGUAAAAAUGCAUUAGGGUGAGGUUUGUGUAAGAUUUCGUACUCCAACGGUAGAAGUGAGGCGCACUUCUAAAAUUUGCUUAGAGAUGUUAUUAUGGUGUCCGAAUACCUUACGAUGGCGUGAAAAUCUAUUUUCUUCUCUAGUUAUUGAAGUUCUAAAAGUCGUAUAAAAUUUGAAUGGAUCAAUAAAUACUUGAAAUCUUGAAAAUAGACGGUCCAAAAAACUUCUCACAUCAUACAUUAUUUUUUGGACUUGGAAUUCCUAUUUUUAUUAAUGUCCAUAGAUCUUGAGGUCAAGGGUUCUCCAACACCUAAACACUUUAAGGUACAUCUUACUUCAAUGUAAGGUUGCAACAUUAUAUACUUUUUUUUUCAAUGCAAUGAACAACAAAAGAAAAUAUAAAAUUUAAAAUACCAAAGUAGCAAAUAUAUGUAGGUAGCACACAAUGAAUAGCAGAGUUCAUGAGAUUUCAAAUUGAUCUUUCUUAAAAAAAAUUAAUGAAUAUAAAUUUACUUAAACAUGAAUUUCAAGCUAAUGUCUAAAUAGUUAAGCAAAAGCAACAGAAAUACAAAUCAAUUAUCUAAGAAAAAACAAUUAUUGAUUUGUCUUAUCUGUUUAUCUUAGCUAACUCUAAAUUUGCUUUGAAAAAUAGAUGUCAAAAAAUUUAAAAAACCCAUCCAAAAAGAAAAAUAGACAACAUAAUCACAGAAAAACAUUAUACAGCAUAAUCAAAGAAUCAAUAAAAAAAAUUAUUUUAAGUGAUAUACCUCUUCAUUCACUUCCAAUGCCACAACAUAUUUUCUUUCCAGUAUACUUUACUAACCAAAUCUAUCCUAACCCUCUCGGUUUUGAAUUUGGUCUCAC
rnacentral:lncRNA from 1 species